rnacentral:lncRNA from 1 species
GACGGGCUCAAAGAAGCCCUCCUCCUGAGGGAAGCUGCCCUACGGGUUUCCUUGCCUUCUGGGGCCUUGUACGUCUUCUCCAGCUUGCUGGAGGUGGGCACAGCCCUUCAGAUGCCAGCCCUGGGCCCCUUACCCACCACUCUGGUCCCCACACUCUGUCCUCAGCUUCAUCGUUUGCCCCUUUGCAAAUAACCCCCCCCCGAAUUUCCCAGAAUCCCGUGUUUCGGUUUUGAUGGGGACCCUUGUGGUGCCAGGAGCUCCCUGUGAACCUCUUGAACUUGUGGGGUGACACAAGCAGGGAACCUCGGACACCGUGGUCGGUCACGGUGGAGUCAUAGUUUGGCGAGGGCUCCUCCGUUUCUGUCGUCAGGCAGUCAUGUGACUUGUUCUCUCCUCAUCGCAAACCUGGAUGUGUUGAAACCCAGGGCGGUGCUUCAACACAAAAUAAUUUGUGCCUGGCGAAUGGAACAGAUUUUAAAAGGAAUUGCUCAUGGUGAUUUAGUGAAUUGUCAGGCCAAGUGUGGAAAAGAAAGGAAGAAGGAAGAGAGGAGGCAUCCGUUGAUGAACUUCAGAUGCCAAGAUAAAGGAGACUUGCUUUUCGACGAGAUGACACUGGCCCUGCUGGUCGGGCUCCCGGGGAGAGGAGGUCUGAACUGCUCGGUGAGUUGAGGGCCCCAGGACAGCUGGUCCUGUCGUGCGGCCAAGUCCUAAGGCACCGGACACACAGCAUCUUCCAGGAAGCAAACCUGCACUGACUCUACUUUCUUUUUUUUUUUUUUUUUUUUUUUUUGUCUUUUUGCCAUUUCUUGGGCCCCUCCCGCGGCAUAUGGGGGUUCCCCGGCUAGGGGUUGAAUCGGAGCUGUAGCUACCAGCCUUCGCCAGAGCCACAGCAAUGCAGGAUCCGAGCUGCGUCUGUGACCUACACCACAGCUCACGGCAACCCUGGAUCGUUAACCCACUGAGCAAGGGCAGGGACCAAACCCACAACCUCAUGGUUCCUAGUCGGAUUCGUUAACCACUGCGCCACGACGGGAACUCCUGACUCCACUUUUUUAGGGUCAGUCCAGAGCGGGGUCAAGACUUGCACAGGCACGGAAGUGCUGAUAACACUGAGGGGUGACUCUGGACUGGGGUGAG